GUGCUCGCCUUGGCAGCAUAUAGACUAAAACUGGAGCAACACAGAGAAGAUUAGCAUGGCCCCUGUGCAAGAUGACACACAAAUUCAUGAAGUGUUUCAUUUUUUA